rnacentral:rRNA from 1 species
UUCCUACGGGGGGCAGCAGUAGGGAAUAUUGCAAAAUGGGCGAAAGCCUGAUGCAGCAACGCCGCGUGUGCGAUGAAGGCCUUCGGGUCGUAAAGCACUUUUCGAUGGGAUGAGGACGGACAGUACCAUCGGAAUAAGCCUCGGCUAACUACGUGCCAGCAGCCGCGGUAAAACGUAGGAGGCGAGCGUUAUCCGGAUUUACUGGGUGUAAAGCGCGUGCAGGAGGACUGGAAAGUUGGAUGUAAAAGCUCACGGCUUAACUGGGAGAGGUCGUUCAAAACUACCGGUCUAGAGUACAGUAGAGGAAAGUGGAAUUCCGGGUGUAGUGGUGAAAUGCGUAGAUAUCCGGAGGAACACCAGUGGCGAAAGCGGCUUUCUGGACUGAAACUGACGCUCAGACGCGAAAGCUAGGGUAGCAAACGGGAUUAGAUACCCUAGUAGUCGC